AUGGUGUCCUCAGGUCUAGAGGCCCUUGUCUUGACCCAGGACAAGACUGCAAGAGUUCAACUGGGGCAGAAUGUGAAGAUCCGUUGCGCACCAAGCGAUUUAAACACCGGCGGUGACGCUCGUCCUCAGUCCCCCCCUGGUGUGGUCUUGUUGGCCCCCUCCCAGGACCUCUCCUCUGGGGACAGGGCUGCUGUGGUGUGUCUGGCUCAGGGCUUCUACCCUGACGGUGCCACCCUGACCUGGUCAGAGGAUGGCAAAGCUGUGGCGGGCACUGAGUUCCAGACGGGCGAGUCUCAGCGCCAGUCUGAUGGCACCUUCUCCCUCAGCAGCGUCCUGACGGUCCAGCCGGAACGCUGGCGCUCUGGACACACCUACACCUGUCAGCUGAGCCACUCCGCCCUCUCCAGCCCUCUGAGCAAGAGUGUGGCACACGGCCAGUGCAGCUAGAGGCAGAGAGCAGGAGGCAGCCAAUCAAGCCCCACACACAGCACUGGCUCUGCUAUUGCUAUAUGCUCACUCUUUCCCAUGCACAAACAUGCAGUCUAUCCCUCUUAUGCAUUCUUCUACCAAAGGCCAGAGGAAUGAGUUUUGGGGCUUGUUGAAUGUUUAUUUGCUUAAAAGCAAGUGUGGCUACAUAGUUCUUUUGUUUAUUUUAAUUGCUUUAUGUGACAUAUAUUUUGAAAAUCUCUUUAUAAAUGCUUCUUAAUAAAACAUUCUCAUUUCAUGAAUAUGCAUGGGAUGUCAUCUUUUUCCUGAAU